rnacentral:rRNA from 1 species
AAGAGGCGAAGCCGCGAGGCGGAGCAAAUCUCAAAAAAGCCGUCCCAGUUCGGAUUGCAGGCUGCAACCCGCCUGCAUGAAGCUGGAAUCGCUAGUAAUCGCGAAUCAGCAUGUCGCGGUGAAUACGUUCCCGGGUCUUGUACACACCGCCCGUCACACCAUGGGAGUUGGUAACGCCCGAAGUCAGUGACCUAACCGCAAGGGAGGAGCUGCCGAAGGUGGGGCCAGUAACUGGGGUGAAGUCGUAACAAGGUAUC